GAAAAACAGAACUCCACCAGGAUGUUGGUCCUCAGUACAGGGGUGUGGUACCGGAGAAUCAAGCACCAAAUAAAACUAAGGGAGAAGAUGCUCCGUAAUUGUUGAUGAUGAAGCAGAAAUGUCUUCAGAAGGGAGGCAAGCCUCUGCUGCUCACGAGCCCUCUGUCCCAGAUGGACGUCCCCAGGCUACCUGCCGCUUGUUAAGGUCAUCCCACAGCAGCUUUUCAGGGUGAGGAUAGACCUCUGCAAAGCCCAUUAAACUGUCUAUCCGUGGUUCUAGCUUAUAAAAAGAAUCACAACACCUAGGAGGCAAACGGUAAUGAAGCUAUGAGCUGAA